AUUGAACGCUGGCGGCAGGCCUAACACAUGCAAGUCGAGCGGAUGAAGGGAGCUUGCUCCUGGAUUCAGCGGCGGACGGGUGAGUAAUGCCUAGGAAUCUGCCUGUUAGUGGGGGAUAACGUCCGGAAACGGGCGCUAAUACCGCAUACGUCCUGAGGGAGAAAGUGGGGGAUCUUCGUACCUCACGCUAUCAGAUGAGCCUAGGUCGGAUUAGCUAGUUGGUGGGGUAAAGGCCUACCAAGGCGACGAUCCGUAACUGGUCUGAGAGGAUGAUCAGUCACACUGGAACUGAGACACGGUCCAGACUCCUACGGAAGGCAGCAGUGGGGAAUAUUAGACAAUGGACGAAAGCCUGAUCCAGCCAUGCCGCGUGUGUGAAGAAGGUCUUCGGAUUGUAAAGCACUUUAAGUUGGGAUAAAGAGCAGUAAGUUAAUACCUUGCUGUUUUGACGUUACCAACAGAAUAAGCACCGGCUAACUUCGUG
rnacentral:rRNA from 1 species